UACGUAGGUGGCAAGCGUUGUCCGGAUUUACUGGGCGUAAAGAGCGCGCAGGCGGUCGUCCAAGUCGCGUGUGAAAGCCCCCGGCUCAACUGGGGAGGGUCACGCGAUACUGGUCGACUCGAAGGCAGGAGAGGGUAGUGGAAUUCCCGGUGUAGUGGUGAAAUGCGUAGAUAUCGGGAGGAACACCAGUGGCGAAGGCGGCGACCUGGGUAGAUACUGACGCUGAGGUGCGAAAGCGUGGGGAGCAAACAGG
rnacentral:rRNA from 1 species